GACCGGGACCGGUAGGGGUGCUGUUGCCAUCAUGGCUGACCCCGACCCCCGGUACCCUCGCUCCUCGAUCGAGGACGACUUCAACUAUGGCAGCAGCGUGGCCUCCGCCACCGUGCACAUCCGAAUGGAAAAUAGUAAUGUAAUUUUUUUUCUCUUUUAGCCUUUCUGAGAAAAGUCUACAGCAUUCUUUCUCUGCAGGUUCUCUUAACUACAGUGACUUCAACAGUUUUUUUAUACUUUGAGUCUGUACGGACAUUUGUACAUGAGAGUCCUGCCUUAAUUUUGCUGUUUGCCCUCGGAUCUCUGGGUUUGAUUUUUGCGUUGAUUUUAAACAGACAUAAGUAUCCCCUUAACCUGUACCUACUUUUUGGAUUUACGCUGUUGGAAGCUCUGACUGUGGCAGUUGUUGUUACUUUCUAUGAUGUAUAUAUUAUUCUGCAAGCUUUCAUACUGACUACUACAGUAUUUUUUGGUUUGACUGUGUAUACUCUACAAUCUAAGAAGGAUUUCAGCAAAUUUGGAGCAGGGCUGUUUGCUCUUUUGUGGAUAUUGUGCCUGUCAGGAUUCUUGAAGUUUUUUUUUUAUAGUGAGAUAAUGGAGUUGGUCUUAGCCGCUGCAGGAGCCCUUCUUUUCUGUGGAUUCAUCAUCUAUGACACACACUCACUGAUGCAUAAACUGUCACCUGAAGAGUACGUAUUAGCUGCCAUCAGCCUCUACUUGGAUAUCAUCAAUCUAUUCCUGCACCUGUUACGGUUUCUGGAAGCAGUUAAUAAAAAGUAAUUAAAAGUAUCUCAGCUCAACUGAAGAACAACAAAAAAAAUUUAAUGAGAAAAAAGGAUUAAAGUAAUUGGAAGCAGUAUAUAGAAACUGUUUCAUUAAGUAAUAAAGUUUGAAACAAU
rnacentral:lncRNA from 1 species